rnacentral:rRNA from 1 species
AUUGAACGCUGGCGGCAUGCCUAACACAUGCAAGUCGAGCGGGGUUUUCGGACCUAGCGGCGGACGGGUGAGUAAUGCGUAGGAAGCUGCCCGAUAGAGGGGGAUACCAGUUGGAAACGACUGUUAAUACCGCAUAAUGUCUACGGACCAAAGUGUGGGACCUUCGGGCCACAUGCUAUCGGAUGCGCCUACGUGGGAUUAGCUAGUUGGUGAGGUAAUGGCUCACCAAGGCGACGAUCUCUAGUGGGUUUGAGAGGAUGAUCAGCCACACUGGAACUGAGACACGGUCCAGACUCCUACGGAAGGCAGCAGGGGGGAAUAUUGGACAUUGGGCGCAAGCCUGAGCCAGCCAUGCCGCGUGUGUGAAGAAGGCCUUCGGGUUGUAAAGCACUUUCAGCGAGGAGGAAGGGGUGUGUGUUAAAAGUACACACCUUUGACGUUACUCGCAGAAGAAGCACCGGCUAACUCUGUGCCAGCAGCCGCCGUAAAAC